rnacentral:rRNA from 17 species
CAAGCCGUCAGAGCCUGUGUGGUGAUGGCGUGCCUUUUGAAGAAUGAGCCUGCGAGUUAGUGAUGCGUGGCGAGGUUAACCCGUGGUGGGGGAGUCGUAGCGAAAGCGAGUCCGAUAAGGGCGUGAGUCGCGUGUUCUAGACCCGAAGCGGUGUGAUCUAUCCAUGGCCAGGAUGAAGCGUCGGUAAGACGUCGUGGAGGUCCGAAC